rnacentral:rRNA from 1 species
AGGACGAACGCUGGCGGCGCGCCUAAAACGAUGCAAGUCGAACGAGAAGCCCGGGCUUGCCUGGGUGGACAGUGGCGAACGGGUGAGUAACACGUGAGGAACCUGCCCCGAAGACCGGGACAACACCGGGAAACCGGUGCUAAUACCGGAUGCCUUCACCGGAUCGCAUGGUCUGGUGAAGAAAUGGAUUCCGCUUCGGGAUGGCCUCGCGGCCUAUCAGCUUGUUGGUGAGGUAAUGGCCCACCAAGGCAACGACGGGUAGCUGGUCUGAGAGGAUGUCCAGCCACACUGGGACUGAGACACGGCCCAGACUCCUACGGGAGGCAGCAGUUAGGAAUCUUGCGCAAUGGACGAAAGUCUGACGCAGCGACGCCGCGUGCGGGAUGAAUGCCUUCGGGUUGUAAACCGCUUUCAGCAGGGACGAAAUUGACGGUACCUGCAGAAGAAGCCCCGGCAACUACGUGCCAGCAGCCGCGGUAA